AAAAAGACAAACCCUAGGUUUCUAUGUCCAACGUUUGACUGUCCGUCUUAUAUGAAAUUUUUUUAUAAUUAGUAUUUUCGUUGUUGUUAGAUGAUAAAACAUGAUUAAUUACUUUAUGGCGUGACUUGUCUUUUUAAUUUUUCAUAAUUUUUUCAAAUAAGACGGACGGUCAAAUGUUGGACACGGAAACCCAGUGUUUAUCUUUUU
rfam:Oryza rufipogon genomic scaffold, chr10